rnacentral:lncRNA from 1 species
AACCUUGGAGAGCACCUCCCUUGCAUAUGACUUCUGCAAAGGGCAUGUUUCAGCUCACAGGGACAAAGAGCCACUGCACCAGAGAACCAGAAAGAGUGAAGAAAUGUUUGUCCCCGGUGCUGAGAAUACCAUCAGAUGAUCUUUCUGCCCAGAGCCACUAUCUGUCUCUAAAUAUCACGGUUAUCAAUGCUUGGCCAUCUCUUUUCAGUUUGGGAAAACUGCCAGGGACCACUAGCUAGCUCCAGAAUUCCUCAGAUGUUUCAGGGAACUGCCACAACUUUGUAGACCACAGUUUGAAAGCUACUGCUGAAGAAAUAUGCCAUCUUGAAGGCUUUUUAAGCACGAGAUUUGCAAGAUAUGGUUCGCAUUUUAGAAACAUUAUUCUGCUUGCUACAGUACUGAGUUUGGAUGAGGGAGACUUGAAGGCAAGGGAGCUCUUUUAGGAAAUAACUACACUUUUCUUAUAGAAGAAGACUAUAAUAGACUGUGUCAAAAAUGUCUAUGUUCCAUAGCAUUGG